rnacentral:misc_RNA from 1 species
UUUCCGUAGGUGAACCUGCGGAAGGAUCAUUCAUAAUAAAGUGUUUUAUGGCACUUUUUAAAAAUCCAUAUCCACCUUGUGUGCAAUGUUAGAUCUCGUCAAUCUUGGCGAGAUUUUUAUACAUCAACUCAUUCUUUAACUAAUUUGUCUGAAAAAUAUUAUGAAUACUUAAUUCAAGAUACAACUUUCAACAACGGAUCUCUUGGCUCUC